CACGUAGGAGGCGAGCGUUGUCCGGAAUCAUUGGGCGUAAAGAGCGCGCAGGCGGCUUGGCAAGUCGGGUGUGAAAUCCCUAGGCUCAACCUAGGAACUGCGUCUGAUACUGGAUGGCUUGAAUCCGGGAGAGGGAUGCAGAAUUCCAGGUGUAGCGGUGAAAUGCGUAGAUAUCUGGAGGAAUACCGGUGGCGAAGGCGGCAUCCUGGACCGGCAUUGACGCUGAGGAGCGAAAGCCAGGGGAGCAAACGGG
rnacentral:rRNA from 1 species